ensembl:lncRNA
CGUCCGCACGCAUGCGUCCCAGAGUGGCGACGACACCAUUUUAGAGGAGGAAAGGAAAACACGGACAGUUACUAGCAGUCAGUAACAAUAUAUCAGCAGAUAAACUAAUAAUAGCUCAUGUGCGUGCGGAGAAACCGGGACAUAUAGAAGACCCCCGCGGAUCCACAGAAGAGUCGCGUUCCGACGUCCGCUCAGCGCCGGUUCGGGGUUAUUGUUGUUAUUGGUGUGUGUGAGUGUGUGUGUGUGUUCGGGAGAAACUGAAACAGUGCGGUUCUGUGCUCGGUCCAGAUGGAUGGAGACGAGGAGAUCCACUCAGAUGAUGGCAGCGCUACUCCGGUCCAGGACGAGCAGGAGGAGGCCAGACCCGCGUCACCGCAGUCUGAGGUCAGUCUGGGGAUUUGGGUUUAGUGCUCGACUUCAAGAAAUAAAAUAUAUUGACCAUCAGGUCGUCCGAGAUCAGGAUGAGCAAUGGAUGCUCUGCAGUGAAUGGGUGCCGUCAGAAUGAGAGUCCAAACAGCUGAUAAAAACAUCACAAUAAUCCACAAGUAAUCCUGAUGGACUGGAGUGGUGUGGAUUACUUGUGGAUUAUUGUGAUGUUUUUAUCAGCUGUUUGGACUCUCAUUCUGACGGCACCCAUUCACUGCAGAGCAUCCAUUGCUGAGACACUGAUGCAAUGCUACAUUUCUCCAAAUCUGAUGAAGAAACAAACUCAUCCAGAUCUCGGACCUGAGGGUUAAUCAGGGGUCUACAGCACGGUGCUGUCGCUCGAGGUCUGAUUGAGGUUUGGAUUUUUUUUUAAUUAUCCCGUAACGCAUUUUAAUUCUCAUUAAACCCGUGUUUGAUUCUCGGGAUUUGAAAAACUCUCAGUAAAUACAGCUCUGCUUUAAUCAAAGUUAUUGAGAGUCUCACGCAGAGUAGUUUCGGUUUGUGUGAAAGCAUGACUGAAGGAGGGAAAUUAUGUGAAAGAAUAUAUGAAGUUAUGUGAGGAUGCUACUGUACUCUGUUCUGCUGUUCACAAGCGCCACCUGCUGGCAAACUGUGCUUUUACAAUUUCAUUCGAUCUGUCUGACCUGUUUUUGUUCAGACCAAUGGGAAAAUCAGAACACACUUUUAAUGUAAAUCUUAACGGGUGAUUUUUAGAAAGCACAUUAGCUUUUAUGAAGCAGAUCAAAUUUAAUUUAUCAUUCCGACUCUUAUUUUUUUAUUAAAAAAAGAUAUAAAGGCCGAUGUGUUAUAGUUUUAUUUUUACAAAUGGUCAAAGCUUUGUUUGAAAAUGUAGUUCAUGUCAGUAGAUAACAUAUUUUUUGUUAGUUUAUAAUGUGGCUGUGCAUUUUUUUGGUCUUAUUUCAUUAUUUAUGCGAACAUGCAAAAGUGGAAAAAAAGUGCUGCUACUUUUAUUUGUUGACUUUUCUCCUAAAACAUGACAAAAUGAUUUCAGUGUGUAUCGGUAAUUUUUUUAAUAUUUCCAGCUAGGGUUGCAAAGGGGUGGAACAUUUCCAGAAACGUAAA